UGAGGAAUAUUGGGCAAUGCCCGAAAGGGUGACCCAGCAACGCCGCGUGGAGGAUGAAGGUCGUAAGAUUGUAAACUCCUGUUAGAGGGGAAGAAUAACUAAGUUUGGAGCUUAGUAUGACUGUACCCUCAGAGAAAGCCCCGGCUAACUACGUGCCAGCAGCCGCGGUAAUACGUAGGGGGCAAGCGUUGUCCGGAUUUACUGGGUGUAAAGGGCGCGCAGGCGGAAUGGAAAGUCAGUGGUGAAAUCCUACAGCUUAACUGUAGAACUGCCUUUGAUACUGGAAGUCUUGAGUUCGGGAGAGGUGAGUGGAACUGCGAGUGUAGAGGUGAAAUUCGUAGAUAUUCGCAAGAACACCAGUGGCGAAGGCGGCUCACUGGCCCGAUACUGACGCUGAGGCACGAAAGCGUGGGGAGCAAACA
rnacentral:rRNA from 1 species